CUUGGAGGAAUGUAUAGGGAAAACUGGUAAAAUGUGAUGUACCUGAUAGUAUUAGAAAUUAAUAUGAAAUUAACUAAGUUAAUUAAAAUUCGGAGUAGAUAUGUGAUUAUGACAAUAUUUGCUUAUUUCUUGACCAAGUCACGUGCCAGCAGUCGCGGUAAUACGUGGUAGAUCAGUGUUAUUCAUCUUUAAUAGGUUUAAAGGGUACCUAGACGGUUAAUUAAGCAUAUUUAUGUACUAAUUAUUAACUAGAGUUUAAUGUAAGAAGGAUUGAGUACGGUGAGUGUAGAGAUAAAAUUCUGUCAUACCACUUAGGAACUGGUAAAGGCGAAGGCAACCUUUUAUGUAAAAACUGACGUUAAGGGACGAAGGCUCGUAUUAAGUAAUAGGAUUAGAGACCCUAGUAUUGUGGGCAGACAAUGAUGAGUGUCAUAUGCAAGAAAAUAUUUGUGUAUAAAUGAAAGUGUAAGCACUCCACCUCAAGAGUAACGUGGCAACAUGGGAACUGAAAUCAUUAGACCGUUUCUGAAACUCGUAGUGAAGUAUGUUGUUUAAUUUGAUAAUCCUCAAAUAACCUUACCACAAUUUGAAUUACUGGUGCUUUACUUCAAACAUUUAUUAGUUGUUUAUGAGUAGUUUAUUAGUAACAAGCGUUGCACGGCUGUCUUCAGUCAAUGUUGUGAAACUUUGGUUAGAUCCAUUAAAUUGACGUAAACCCUUGCUUUAUUUGUUAUAGAGCAGUUCGCCGCUAUAUUGGUAGUGAUAUAAGGGACUAAGACAAGUCAUCAUGACCUAAACAUUGUGGGCUAUAGAC
rnacentral:rRNA from 1 species